rnacentral:lncRNA from 1 species
AGAAGCCCUAUUAUUAUCACUCUCCUCCACCACCUUCACCUCCUCCACCUAAGCCAUACUACUAUCAUUCACCACCACCACCUUCACCUCCUCCACCCAAGCCAUACUACUAUCACUCACCACCACCACCUUCACCUCCUCCACCUAAACCAUACUACUAUCACUCACCACCACCACCUUCACCUCCUCCACCUAAACCAUACUACUAUCACUCACCACCACCACCUUCACCUCCUCCACCUAAACCAUACUACUAUCACUCACCACCACCACCUUCACCUCCUCCACCUAAGUCAUAUUACUAUCACUCACCACCACCACCACCCAAAAAGAAGCCAUACUACUACCAUUCUCCCCCACCACCUUCACCACCUCCUCCUAAGCCAUACUACUAUCACUCUCCCCCACCGCCUUCACCUCCUCCACCUACGCCAUACUACUAUCAUUCUCCCCCACCACCCUCACCACCUCCACCUAAGCCAUACUACUACCAUUCACCACCACCCCCACCGAAGAAGAAGCCUUACUACUACCACUCUCCACCACCAC